rnacentral:rRNA from 1 species
CUUUGGGGUGUGACUGCGUACCUUUUGUAUAAUGGGUCAGCGACUUAUAUUCUGUAGCAAGGUUAACCGUAUAGGGGAGCCGGAGGGAAACCGAGUCUUAACCGGGCGUUAAGUUGCAGGGUAUAGACCCGAAACCCGGUGAUCUAGCCAUGGGCAGGUUGAAGGUUGGGUAACACUAACUGGAGGACCGAACCGACUAAUGUUGAAAAAUUAGCGGAUGACCUGUGGCUGGGGGUGAAAGGCCAAUCAAACCGGGAGAUAGCUGGUUCUCCCCGAAAGCUAUUUAGGUAGCGCCUCGUGAAUUCAUCUCCGGGGGUAGAGCACUGUUUCGGCUAGGGGGCCAUCCCGGCUUACCAACCCGAUGCAAACUGCGAAUACCGGAGAAUGUUAUCACGGGAGACACACGGCGGGUGCUAACGUCCGUCGUGAAGAGGGAAACAACCCAGACCGCCAGCUAAGGUCCCAAAGUCAUGGUUAAGUGGGAAACGAUGUGGGAAGGCCCAGACAGCCAGGAUGUUGGCUUAGAAGCAGCCAUCAUUUAAAGAAAGCGUAAUAGCUCACUGGUCGAGUCGGCCUGCGCGGAAGAUGUAACGGGGCUAAACCAUGCACCGAAGCUGCGGCAGCGACGCUGAUGCGUUGUUGGGUAGGGGAGCGUUCUGUAAGCCUGCGAAGGUGGCCUGUGAGGGUUGCUGGAGGUAUCAGAAGUGCGAAUGCUGACAUAAGUAACGAUAAAGCGGGUGAAAAGCCCGCUCGCCGGAAGACCAAGGGUUCCUGUCCAACGUUAAUCGGGGCAGGGUGAGUCGACCCCUAAGGCGAGGCCGAAAGGCGUAGUCGAUGGGAAACGGGUUAAUAUUCCCGUACUUGGUGUUACUGCGAAGGGGGGACGGAGAAGGCUAUGUUGGCCGGGCGACGGUUGUCCCGGUUUAAGCGUGUAGGUGUGUGUUCCAGGUAAAUCCGGUUCACUUUAACACUGAGGCGUGAUGACGAGGCACUACGGUGCUGAAGCAACAAAUGCCCUGCUUCCAGGAAAAGCCUCUAAGCAUCAGGUAACAUCAAAUCGUACCCCAAACCGACACAGGUGGUCAGGUAGAGAAUACCAAGGCGCUUGAGAGAACUCGGGUGAAGGAACUAGGCAAAAUGGUGCCGUAACUUCGGGAGAAGGCACGCUGACACGUAGGUGAAGUGAUUUACUCAUGGAGCUGAAGUCAGUCGAAGAUACCAGCUGGCUGCAACUGUUUAUUAAAAACACAGCACUGUGCAAACACGAAAGUGGACGUAUACGGUGUGACGCCUGCCCGGUGCCGGAAGGUUAAUUGAUGGGGUCAGCGCAAGCGAAGCUCCUGAUCGAAGCCCCGGUAAACGGCGGCCGUAACUAUAACGGUCCUAAGGUAGCGAAAUUCCUUGUCGGGUAAGUUCCGACCUGCACGAAUGGCGUAAUGAUGGCCAGGCUGUCUCCACCCGAGACUCAGUGAAAUUGAACUCGCUGUGAAGAUGCAGUGUACCCGCGGCAAGACGGAAAGACCCCGUGAACCUUUACUAUAGCUUGACACUGAACAUUGAGCCUUGAUGUGUAGGAUAGGUGGGAGGCUUUGAAGUGUGGACGCCAGUCUGCAUGGAGCCGACCUUGAAAUACCACCCUUUAAUGUUUGAUGUUCUAACGUGGACCCGUGAUCCGGGUUGCGGACAGUGUCUGGUGGGUAGUUUGACUGGGGCGGUCUCCUCCUAAAGAGUAACGGAGGAGCACGAAGGUUGGCUAAUCCUGGUCGGACAUCAGGAGGUUAGUGCAAUGGCAUAAGCCAGCUUGACUGCGAGCGUGACGGCGCGAGCAGGUGCGAAAGCAGGUCAUAGUGAUCCGGUGGUUCUGAAUGGAAGGGCCAUCGCUCAACGGAUAAAAGGUACUCCGGGGAUAACAGGCUGAUACCGCCCAAGAGUUCAUAUCGACGGCGGUGUUUGGCACCUCGAUGUCGGCUCAUCACAUCCUGGGGCUGAAGUAGGUCCCAAGGGUAUGGCUGUUCGCCAUUUAAAGUGGUACGCGAGCUGGGUUUAGAACGUCGUGAGACAGUUCGGUCCCUAUCUGCCGUGGGCGCUGGAGAACUGAGGGGGGCUGCUCCUAGUACGAGAGGACCGGAGUGGACGCAUCACUGGUGUUCGGGUUGUCAUGCCAAUGGCACUGCCCGGUAGCUAAAUGCGGAAGAGAUAAGUGCUGAAAGCAUCUAAGCACGAAACUUGCCCCGAGAUGAGUUCUCCCUGAGACUUUAGGUCUCCUGAAGGAACGUUGAAGACGACGACGUUGAUAGGCCGGGUGUGUAAGCGCAGCGAUGCGUUGAGCUAACCGGUACUAAUGAACCGUGAGGCUUAACCUU